rnacentral:rRNA from 1 species
UACGGGAGGCAGCAGUGGGGAAUAUUGGACAAUGGGCGAAAGCSUGAUCCAGCAAUACCGCGUGUGUGAAAAAGGCCUUCGGGUUGUAAAGCACUUUAAGCAGGGAARAAAAAAUUCAAGCUAACAUCUUGAGUCUUGACGGUACCUGAAAAUAAGCACCGGCUAACUCUGUGCCAGCAGCCGCGGUAA